rnacentral:misc_RNA from 1 species
GGUUACCACAGCUGCAAGAAGAUGGGUUGGAAACAAGUCUGCAGAAAUCACUUCCGGUUUUGAUCAGGAAGCAGCAGCUUCAGUCAUGGCCAGACUUGCAAUUCACCGGACAGAAACAUGCUAUGCUCGAGAUGUUGUCAGAUGGCUGGAUGACAACCUUAUCUGUUUUGCUUCCAAGUUUGGAGAUUAUAUCGAGGAAGAUCCAUCUACCUUCCGCUUGUCAACAAACUUCUCUCUUUACCCCCAGUUCAUGUAUUAUUUGAGGAGGUCCCAAUUUAUAGAUGUUUUCAAUAGUACUCCUGAUGAAACUGCAUUUUUCCACCUGAUGUUGAACCGUGAAGGAGUUGUGGGUUCUCUUGUCAUGAUACAACCUACACUUUUUCAGUAUUCUUUCAAUGGUCCCCCAAUUCCAGUCCUCCUAGAUGUUCAAUCCAUCUUACCUGAUGUUAUUUUACUCUUUGAUUCUUACUUCCAUGUAGUGAUUCAUUAUGGGUCCAAAAUUGUUCAGUGGAGGAAACUUGGCUAUCACAAAGAUCCAAACCAUGAGAAUUUGAGAAAGCUGUUGGAAGCUCCUGAAAUUGAUGCAGAGCAAUUGGUGGCAGAACGAGUUCCUGCGCCUAAAUUGAUAAAAUGUGACCAACACAGUAGUCAGGCUAGGUUUCUUCUUGCUAAGUUGAAUCCAUCUGUUACUCAGAACUCAACAUACACAGAAGGAUCAGAAAUCAUACUCACUGAUGAUUUGAGCUUGCAAGAUUUUAUAGAUCACCUGCAAACCCUGGCAGUGAAGGCUUAAUGAAUAGGAGAGUUGUACAGAUUUUCUCCUGUUCUAGUUCUUUUGGCUUUUCCUUCGCUUGGUCUCUGUAUAUUGCUUAAGGCGUCUGGUUGUUGUACCAAGAACAGGUGCAUACAUACAUGUUGGGUGUGAGGUAUAUUGUUUUCUUUUAUUUUUGUAACUAGAGUUAGUUUGAUUUUCCCCUCUUUCCUUAAUCGGCUUUCUUUGUCCAUCUUGUUUGAGUUGACAGCAUCAAAGUGAUCAUGAUAUUAUGAAAUGAGCAUCUUUUAUUUUCUACAUAUAUGUUAAUACAGUGUGUUCAUUGAUCUGGCGUUCUGGUGUGAAACGGAUCAAACUAACUUGGGCAGUCAAUAGUUUUGCUUUAUUUUCUAGCUAAAGAACAGACAAAACUCAAAUGGAUUUCGCCUUCGACAACAGGUUGGGCUCAAUUUUUUGGCGCAGAAAGAUCGACCCGUGUGUUUAUCAACUCCAAAAGGGAAUAAAAUUUCAUUCUCACUCAAUGACAGAACUCAUCGAAACAGAUCUUAUUUCCCCAAUUCAACCUUUGUCGAUGCUCUAUACCCUCAUGGAGUCCGACUUCCGCAAGGGGCAGUGGCGGCGAAGAUGAAGCGCAUUAUGUACUCAAAUGAUCAUCAUCCUGGCAAAAGAUCAAGGAAACACAUAAAGACUGCUUCCUCAUCUCUUGAUUUGAACAAUGAUAUUCUAAUGGAGAGUAUUACGAGUCUCAAGUCGUUUCAACAAAUAACUGGACCUUUUAUCUUGCAAUCAUUUAUGUAUCCACCGAUGCCAAAAUGGGUUAGUUUUAUAUUCUUUGCUCCAAUACUAGAUUAUUUCUAAUGAACGUUAUGAGUGUUUUUUCCUUUUUAUGAAGUAUGAACCGAGUCCAUCAUAGUUUUACAUUGCGUUUUGAGCAAUUUCUCCUCAAUGAGUGUUUAUAUGUUUGCUUUCAUCACCACAGACCAUUGUUACUAACUCUGGUUUUCCUUUCACAGCAAGUGAUCUUUACCAACUACAGUAUCUAGCACCUGUUGAAUGUUUAAAUUUCUGAAUUAGUGGCGACAAUGGACACCCGAAUAUGAGUUUCCUCGCAGUAUGGGUUGACAAGUAGAAGCUGGGUUGACAAGUAGAAGCCUCUCUGCCUUCAAUCACUUCUUUAGGUAAAAAUAAGCUAGAAAGAUGUCAUCUGAAAUUUGCUAUGGCAAUGAUAAUACAGGCUAUGACAAGUACUCAUCCAGGCUUCGUCAACUCUCUGCUCAGCAUUUCUACAGAAUUAUCCGUAAAGAGCUCCAAGUUUCUGGAACAAUAAAUAUCUAUAUUUAUAUCUAUAUAAAUAAAUAUAAUAAAUCUGAUCUGAAAAUAAACUUUAAUGACAAAUGGCC